rnacentral:lncRNA from 1 species
CGCCAAAUUUUUUGCCUAUGCGACCGCAUAGUGUAUUUCCAUGUGGUCGCAUGGAGUGUAUUUCCAUGUGGUCGCAUGAUUCAACUAAAAAUCUCAUCUUGAGUUUCGAUAUGCCUCCAUGCGAUCGCAAGCCUCAUAAGCCUAUGCAGUCGCAUAGGCUUAUUAUUUUCUUCCGUCUUCGACAUUUGAUAUUAAAUUGAUUCAAAUUGAUUCGGCCUUCGACCCGAAUAUGAAAGUUGCUCCAUUUUUAGUCCCGAACAUGGUUCCAUCAAUGGUUUCUUGAACGAGUAAUCACAUCACUUGUUUCACUUGCUUUGCCCUUGAUCGUGUCAUUGGUCCGCCAUCGACUAUCAAUGGAUCUCAUCUCGUACUAGCCUUCGUCGGGCUCGACUUCUGGAUCAUACCAUCAACUGUUAGAGUGCGCACAAGCAACAUCCCCAUCAGAGGAAGCCAAGUGUGCAAGAAUUAGGCUUGCGUGGACAUGAGAGGCCUUGAGAUUUAUUGGUCACAUUGAAGGUAGAAAAUUCGAGGUCAACAACAUUAUUAUUAAAAAGAUAUUUAUCGAAUCCACAUUUUUGGAAGUUGCUUUAAUUCUUAAGCAUCGAGGUGUGAAUAUUAUCAUACAAAGAUAUAAUGUAUAGAAUCCACAGUUUCUGACUUUUUUGAAUGACAUGGUUAGGUGUUUUUAAGGAUGAAGGUGACAGUUUAUUGAUAGUGAGUAUGUCAGUAAUUUUACGCAGGCAGUGGAGGCAGUGGUGGUUUUUUGCUAUUACAAGUUUAGGGUGAAUAUUGGUGAUGGAUAGUG